UACGAAAGGUGCAAGCGUUACUCGGAAUCACUGGGCGUAAAGCGCACGUAGGCGGACUUACAGGUCAAUUGUGAAAUACCUGGGCUCAACCCGGGAACUGCAGUUGAAACCGUUUGUCUUGAAUACCUGAGAGGGUGGGGGAAUACCUGGUGGAGAAGUGAAAUUCGUAGAGAUCAGGUGGAACACCGGAGGCGAAGGCGCCUGCCUGGCAGUGUAUUGACGCUGAGGUGCGAAAGUGCGGGGAGCAAACAGGAUUAGAUACCCUGGUAGUCCGCACCGUAAACGAUGGAUACUAGGCGUUCGGAGAGUUAACCCUCUGAGUGCCAAAGUUCACACAUUAAGUAUCCCGCCUGGGAAGUACGGUCGCAAGACUAAA
rnacentral:rRNA from 1 species